GACGAACGCUGGCGGCGUGCUUAACACAUGCAAGUCGAACGGAAAGGCCCCUUUGGGGGUACUCGAGUGGCGAACGGGUGAGUAACACGUGAGUAACCUGCCCUUGACUUCGGGAUAACUUCAGGAAACUGGGGCUAAUACCGGAUAGGAAUCCUUGCUGCAUGGUGGGGGUUGGAAAGCUUCGGCGGUUUCGGAUGGACUCGCGGCUUAUCAGCUUGUUGGUGGGGUAGUGGCUUACCAAGGCUUUGACGGGUAGCCGGCCUGAGAGGGCGACCGGCCACAUUGGGACUGAGAGACGGCCCAGACUCCUACGGGAGGCAGCAGUGGGGAAUAUUGCACAAUGGGCGGAAGCCUGAUGCAGCAACGCCGCGUGCGGGAUGACGGCCUUCGGGUUGUAAACCGCUUUCAGCAGGGGCGAAGCUUGUGGUGACGGUACCUGCAGAAGAAGCACCGGCUAACUACGUG
rnacentral:rRNA from 1 species